CCCGCCGCGGCCUGGGCGGCAGGGAAUCCGCAGGUGUUCCCGGUCAUCCGCCCCAGCUGGCUGUCAAUCAACCGGCCAAGGAGAAAGGCUUUUGUGUUUUAAGUGGCUGUUCAGGGAACGCGAGCCUGCUGCGGAGCUAGGUGUUGUCUGUGGUUUUUUAGGGAUGGAACAAGAGGCUGAGGGAUUCUUCAAGCUGGUGUCUCAAAUCAGCACGAAAGCAUUGUCAUUUUUGCACAUGGAACUGCCUCACUGGCCCUAUUUGACUGGUCCAGGAAUGUCAAACUGGCUCAACGUAAGCCAUUUAACUCCAGUGACAGUUGAUUGAUCCAUAAUGUGACACAGGUUGGAUUUCUUUCUCUUCCUACUCCUGAGGGUUCAUAUUGGGUGACCUGAAUUUGAAGUCUCUUCACAUUUAUAUCAUAGUCAUUUUUGCACCAGAUCCUGGUGCCAUCAACACACAACCAGCCGUUUCAACACCUUCCCUCUCCCAUAAUUAUACAGCAGAAAAAAAAUGAAAUCCGGUCAUUUGCAACAAAAUGGAGGAAUCUGGAAAACAUCAUGCUGAGUGAAAUAAACCAGUACCAAAGGGAUAAAUAUCAUAUGUUCUCCCUGACUAGUGACAACUAAUCAAGCAACAAAAAGGAAACCUGUUGAAGUGAAUUGGACCCUAUGAGAAACAGUGACAUGAACAACCCUUGUCCUGACUGUCGAGGAAUAACUUAAUACUUUAUCCCUUUUAGUAAUUUUCUGUUCUACUUAAUACUAUUGGUUGAACACUUUAAUUAACACACAAUUAUUCUUAGGUGUCUAAAUUUAACUGAAAAGUGAUCACUGUUAAAUGUAAGAAUGGGAAUAAGAGAGGGAGGAGAUGUAUAGUUUGGCACAUGCUCAAUCAGAAUAUCCCCAAAUGGUAGAGUUAGAAACGUACCAAGGGAUUCCAGUUCAGUCCCAUCAAGGUGGCAUGUACCAAUGCCAUCUCACUAGUCCAAGUGAUCAAUUUCAGUUCAUAAUUGAUCAUAAUGAUAGGAUUAAGAGUCAAAGGGAUCACAUAAACAAGACUAGUGUCUGCUAAUACUAACUGAUAGAAUUAAAAAGGAGAGAAUGAUCCAACAUGGGAAGCAGGAUACACAGCAGACUCAUAGAAUGGCAGUUGUCCUAAACAGCACUCUGGCCUCAGAAUCAGCCCUUAAGGCAUUUGGAUCUGGCUAAAAAGCUCAUGAGUGUAUUUCAGGCAUGGAAAGCCAAGGCACUCUGCCAAAAAAAAAAAAAAUGACCUAAAUGAAAGAUCUCUGUGAGUGAGAUCCCAGUGGAAAGAAUGGGACAUCAAAGAAGGAGGUACCUUUCUCUGAAGGGAGGAGAGAACUUCCACUUUGACUAUGACCUUGUCUAAAUGUGAUCAGAGUUGGCGAACUCAAAAGGCUUCCAUAGCCUUGGCAACUCAUGGCAAGAGCCUCAGGUGAUUAUUGAUGCCAUAAACAAGAGUGUCAAUUGUUAAAUCAACAACAGGAGUCACUGUGCACUUACUCCCCAUGUAGGAUCUCUGUCCUUAAUGUGUUGUACUAUGUGAAUUAAUGGUAUGACUAGUACUCAAACAGUACUUUAUACUUUGUGUUGUGAGUGAAAACUGUUGAAAUCUUUCUUAAUAUAUAUUAAAUUGAUCUUCUGUAUAUAAAGGUAAUUGAAAAUGAAUCGAUGUG